rnacentral:rRNA from 1 species
UCGCGCUUGAAUACAUUAGCAUGGAUAAUGAAUAGGACGUUUGGUUCUAUUUGUUGGUUUCUUAGGAUCGACGUAAUGAUUAAUAGGGAUAUUGGGGGCGAUUAGUAUUCAAUUGUCAGAGGUGAAAUUCUUGGAUUUAUUGAAGACUAACUACUGCGAAAAGCAUUUUGCCAAGGAUGUUUUCAUUAAUCAAGAACGAAAGUUAGGGGAUCGAAGACGAUCAGAUACCGUCGUAGUCUUAACCAUAAACUAUGCCGACUAGGGAUCGGAUGAUGUUAAUUUUUUAAUGACUCAUUCGGCGCCUUACG